UACGUAGGUGGCAAGCGUUGUCCGGAAUUAUUGGGCGUAAAGCGCGCGCAGGCGGUCUCUUAAGUCUGAUGUGAAAGCCCACGGCUCAACCGUGGAGGGUCAUUGGAAACUGGGGGACUUGAGUACAGAAGAAGAAAGCGGAAUUCCACGUGUAGCGGUGAAAUGCGUAGAGAUGUGGAGGAACACCAGUGGCGAAGGCGGCUUUCUGGUCUGUAACUGACGCUGAGGCGCGAAAGCGUGGGGAGCAAACAGG
rnacentral:rRNA from 1 species